rnacentral:pre_miRNA from 1 species
AAAACAACAUUCGGAUCGUCGGUCUACCGAGUAAUAUCACCCGCUCGGUGGAAGAUCUUCCCUUUGUCGUUAAGG